GCUUGCUCUGGAAGUGGAGGCAGCAUUGUAGAACGUUCAGGGCUGUGCCGCACCCAGAACUCAGUGGCUCCAGCUCUGCCGUUUCACAGUGAGCGAUGGCGUAAACUGUCAGCCUCUGUGGUUCUGUAUUGUCACCUUCAGAGGGAGAAGUGGGUGCCCCAGUGCCUCUCUCAUGGGGUCGUCAGGGGAACCAGACUCAGGUGAGUCAGACUAUUCUGUACUCACUAACUUCAUGUCCUCUGCACAGAAGGAUGUGGUAUAUGAAACAUUUAUGGCCAGGUGCAGUGGCUCACACCUGUAAUUCUAGCACUUUGGGAGGCCCAGGCAGGCAGAUCGCUUUGAGACCAGCCUGGGCAACACAGUGAAACUCUGUCUCUACAAAAAAUACAAAAUUUAGCCAGGCAUGGUGAGGCAUGACUGUAGUCCCAGCUACUCAAAAGCUGAGGCAGGAGGGCCACUUGAGCCAGGGGGAAUGAGGCUGCAGUGAGCUGUGAUUGUGCCACUGCACUCCAGCCUGGGCAACAGACCCAGACCCUGUCUCAAACAAACAGAAAUAUAUAGAUGGUUUAUGUGGCUUUUUUCCCUUAUCAUUGCAAUUUCUAUUAAAACACCAUCAUCUUUUCAUUAGAAUGAAUACAUUGUCAUAUUUCAGUAUUUACAAGUCAAGAUAAUAUUUUGAUAUUGAUUUAUUUAUGUAACAAAACACCACCUCUGUAAUGCCAUGGAAAGUAAUGGUCCUUCAUUAUUUGAAACUCACUGCAGACCAGGUCUCCUCCGACCCGGGGAAGUCUAGGGUGAUUUUCGCUUUGGAGUACAGUCCCCACCUGCAGCUUCUUCUGUGUUUUCUAUUCCGUUGUACGUUUGCUUGCCUGGGGCCUGUGUCAGUGACCAGAAAGAACAGUAGUUCAAUCAGGACUAGAUGCUGAAGGAAUCAAAAGUUGUGUAUCUUAGGGACAGACCACUAAGAAGCCAAGGCUUGUAUAUAAAGUUAUAAUCCAGAGUUCUAACUCUACCAGACCUUAGUGAGGACGGUGGAGGAUAAAUGGCCCACAGCAACCACAUUUCUUUUGUUUACGAAGAUGUUUUCAUUUUCUAAUUGUAACUAUGGAGCAUAAAUUGUUUAUAACAACCUGACUCAAAAGAGAGAAAAUUCAGCCCUAAAACGUUUCAUAAAGCUCACUCACAGGGGAGUUGAGGUCUCAUGUGUAACACAACACAAGUUAGGUUUGUAGAAUAAUUGGCUGAUAGGAAGGUAGAAGGGCCCAUGAGAUCAGCCACUGAAUGGGUUCUGUUUUCUGGGCUCAGUUUUUUCACCUGGAAUAGUUGGGCCAGCUCUUCUCUGAUUUCCAAACCAGUGCGGUAACUCUGUAUGGGCAGCCCCGGGCUGGCCCUCGCUGACGGGAGGCUCCUGCUCAGAGUCCGUUGCUGUGCGGCUUUGCUGAAUGACAGAUUUAAAAUAGAAAACCACAAAAAAGGGAGCUGAGAAUGCUUUGCUCUUCUCUUUAAAUCUCCAUCUAAAUACGUGCUUUUACUUAGAACAUAAACUUGUCCUUUAAAAUAAUUUCCUGAUAAAGGGCUCUUUUAUCACACAUACAUUCUCCCUAUUUGAUAGAGCGAUAGUCACUACAUAGAAACUAGUAAAAUGGAGGCCGGUAGCAGUGGCUCAUGCCUAUAAUCACAGCACUUUGGAAGGCCGAGGCGGGAGGAUCACUUGAGGUCAGAAGUUCAAGACCAGCCUGGCCAACAUGGCGGAACCUUCUCUCUACAUGGUGGUGUGCACCUGUAAUCUCAGCUACUCAGCAGGCUGAAGCAUGAGAAUUGCUUGAACCCGGGAGGCAAAGGUGGCAGUGAGUUCAGAUCACACCACUGCACUCUAGCCUGCAUGACAGAGCGAGACUCCAUCUCAAAAAAAAAAAAAAAA
ensembl:lncRNA